rnacentral:lncRNA from 1 species
GGCAUAGCACGCUGCUGGGGUCCAGAAAAAUCUCCUGCAGAUGUUUUUGAGUUUUAAGUGUUCUCUUCUUUUCUCCUCCUCUUAUUUCUCCUUCUUCAUCCUCCUUUCACACUUUUCUUCCUAUCUUCCCCUUGUUCAUCCUCCCUGUCCUCCACAUCUUCCUCUUCCAUCUCUUCUUCCCCCAUCUCCUCCAUCUUCUCUUUCUUCCUCCUCUCUCCCUCCUCUCCCCCCCUCCUCCUUAAUAUUCAUUAACGCAGGCAUGACCCUACCCAGAGAUGUCCAUCUACUCUCUGAUGUGUUCAGCACUAAAUGCUGUAUAUUGAUGAAGGUGAUUAUAGCUGGAAAGGAAAACCUCUGCCAUUAUUGGAAGUACUUCCAAACAAGCCACUGUAGUAGGUACUGAUAUACACUCAUGUAUAAACAAGAAACAAAUCUACUCGAAAACCUCCCUGUGGCAAAAGAGUAAGAUACAUUCAUGGGUUCACUACUGUGACUAUUGUUCUCUUCUUGACUGCAACUCAGGCCUCUCAGUGCAUCCAAAUUUAGCAGCAUGCUGUUUCCAUUUCCUGGUAGCUAUGCUGCAUUGACUUACAGCGCUCUUCUCCAGGUACUGUUUACACAGACGUGAUGGUCAGCCGUGCCAUUAGACCUCCCAGCCUUCCAUUGGCUAUGGGCUCACAAGCAUGAUGAAUAAUUUAAGCUAGAGAGAAAGAUAUGUUCAUUAAUAAUAUAUAUGUGUGUGUUUGUGUGUUUACAACACUACAGUUCUAGGACUCAUUUUAUAUUAAAAUUAUUCAAAUACAAGUUUGUAUAUAUACUGAAUGAUGAUGAAUAAAUUAAUACAUCUAGAUUAUUAAAUUUUAUUAAUUCAUAUACAUUCCAAUUUUAGGAGUUAAUAUUUAAAGGUUGCAUUUUAUGUAAAUGCAUACUUUGUCAAAAAACAUAGUUGAUGGUUUGCCUUUGUGAAUGAAAUAUAUAUGUGGACAUAUAUAUGUAUAUAUAUAUGCAUAUAUACAUAUGCAUAUAUAUAUAUAUGUGAAGACUGAAUAUGAAGACUAUAUAUAUACACAUACACAUAAAAUGUUUAUACUUUGUUAAAAUAUAAAAUUUGAUUUUAUAUACUUAUAAAGUAGGAUGUUUUGAACUGUAAUAUUUAAUUACAAAUAUUAAUAAUUGAAUCAAAAUAUUACCUAAAGCAUAAAGUUGUAAACCAUGUAACCCACGUUAAAAUUCAUCCAGUGAUUUUUUUUUCAUGAAUUUAAAUGUUUUUCCUGUAGGAAAUUCAUAAAUAAUACAACAAAUUCAAUACAGUGUUAGUGCUGCCAUUAUUAAAUUCCAUAAGCUCAGUGCAGUGUUUUCAUAAGUUCUAUGAAGAUAUAAAGUCACUUAGGGGUAUUUUAGCAGAAUUCUAAAUGAGCGCUUAAGAAAUAUUAUAUAUUCUAACUCAUCCACAUUCCCUAGAAAAUGGGUCCUCCAGGUUAUGUCCACUGAGAAACGGAAUAUGGCAGCAGAAGAAAAUUAACAUUUCAUUUUCUAAGAGUUAUUCUUCAAUUAUGAAGCAGUUUAGCUCACUUGCCUGUUACUAAAUUAGGCUCAGCUAAUUACCGUGUGUCCGUUUCCUCAGAAAUUUUAUAAACUUUUCCCUCUCUAUGGAUGAUGCUCGGAUUAGAAGCGGAAAUAGCUCCAUAAGAUAAAUUUAGGUUUUCUUUUGUAACAGAGUGACUGUGUUGAAACAGGUGUAUGUUCUAGUAAUCAGUGGUAAAGAUCCUCCACAUUCUGUAGAGUUAGCAUUUGAUGAAGGUGGUGGCUUCUGAGCCCCUAAGUGAGCAAAGGUAAAAAUGCUUCAAACAGCUAGGUUCUCAGCUUACUCGAGGAUAGGUUUAAUGUUUCAUGUUUUCAUGUGGAGAUAUUAUUCUAACAAUGAAAGCUUCGUUUUUAUAACUAUGUUUCUGUGCUACCAGGCUGGUACUUUUAAUUUCAUUCAUACUAGAGUUUCUACGGACAUUAUGAAAUACCAGCCGUCCAUCAAGGUUGUAGAGAAGAAGGCUGAGGCUGUGGCUUAGCUGACAGUGCUUGCUUAGCAUUCCUGAUGCUUUGCGAUCUCUUCCUAGCAUUGCAUGGGCUGGGCAUGGUGGCACAUGCUUUCAAACCCAGAAUUCCAGAGAUGGAGCUAAUGGAUCAGAAGUUCCAAGUCAUCUUCAGCGACAUAUUAAGUUCGAGGCCAGAGAUCUAUAGGGAAUUUAGAAAACUGUAGUCAAAAAGACCUCGGCUACUAUCCUCAUUUUUUCACCAUUAAUUUAGAGCAAGUGACUUAGGCUUGUUUUAUACUUUGUCUUGUUUUGUUUUGUUUGUUUGUUUGUUUUUUGUAGCCUAUAGAAAACAAUCCUUUGCUCUGGGGUUGUAUGACAUCAUGAUACAAAAUAGGGCAUGAUAUGUAAGAUGUGUUUAAGGGGGUGAUAGUAAUACAUAUUCUAAUAGUUUUUACCAAGAGGAGAGAGGUGAACACUAUUUUCAGUUGCUUGUAAGGGAAAAAAAAAACAGGAACAGACAACUGAAGAUUAUUGACAGCUUUUUUAUUAACAUUGAACAAAAAUCAUAGUAAAAGCUACAUAUUAGAUACUUUUGCGUUGAUAUAGGCUUUUGUAUUCAGGAUAUUUCAAACAUUAAAAUAAAGUAGAUCUGAACAAUUCUAUUUUCACAACAAAUAUUCAUAUUAUGGUAUUAACAACCAAUAGAAGUAAAAUUUAAAGGAAAACUGUAGUAAAUUUCAGUAUUUGGAUUAGUAUGUUUGAUAUAUAGAUACUUGUCUUUUAUUCUUUUUUUUUUUUUUUUGGAAACAUUAGCCUGCCAAAAUUAUUUUUCCCAGUAAUUCCUCUUCAUAUCUGAGUGUUAUUUCAAUAGUUAUUUCCUUCUAGUUCUUAAAAUGUCAGAAACUAGACUAAAAUAAUGGGCGGUUUUACUUGUCUCAUUUAAGACAUAAAUUGUUACCUAAAAAUUCAUGCACACCAUGUAUACUCAGCAAAAGGCAGCAUCGGAAAAAGAAAAACAUUUCUUCCUGACAUAUUCUUGUGUUUUUGCUUUUAAAGUAUUAAAAAUGUUUUCAUUUAUUAAAUUAAAAAGUGCAAGUAUGUUCACUCCAUUUCUCUUACUAGAGUGACAAAUCAUAUGACUCGUUGAUUUAGGGAGAGAUUGCAUUUCAACCAAAGAAACAAUUUAUAUAACGUUAACAUUUUAUUUAUGGCUAUGAUAAUUGUUUUACUUCUUUUUUACAAAAUUGUGCAUGAUAAUUUGAAUCAUUUGAAAAAUAAAAAAUCUUUUUUUGUUUUCAAAAGAUCAUCUGUAAUUGUACAAACUUACAGCUUUGAACACAUAAUAUUUACCUAAUUUCUAUUGAUAAAUAUUUUUUGUGAUGACAUCAUGAAAAUAUGCUUAUUUAUGUGCCAGAGUUAAGUAUAACCACAAUGAUGAUUUUUUUAUAGUAAGAAGUUUCAUGGAUUUGAAAUGCUUAUCUUAUUAAUUGUACAGUUAAUUUGACACUUUUUAAAAACUGUCCAUGUUAGGUGAGAGAUGGAGGGGCAGCAUCAAUAGGCCAGGUAGAUGGGUAGGGGUGAUGAAAUUAGCAGUUAAUUGUUAUCAGCUUGAAAAAUCAUGAUUACUACUUACUGUGUCACAAUAUUUUAAAAUUAUUGAUUCAAGGAUUUAAAAUUUUUUUUGUAUUUAGAGAAGGGUAAGGGGUGGCAAGUGCCUUUACCCACUGAGCCAACUCACCAGUCCUCAUUUGUGAGUUUUACAUAGGACUUAAUGAUACUGACCUCAACAUUCCUUUAAGCUCUCAUGUAUUAUAGUUCUGUGUCCAUAGCAAAUAUAAAUCCUACUGUGUUAUCUCACGCUCUUGAUCACUCCUCUUUUUUAUUGAAAACAAUAGUUUUUACAAUAUAUUCUCCUACCCUCAAUUCGUCCUAGACUCUCCUCAUCCCUCUAGCCACACAGCUCCACCCUCUCUCUAAAAAUCAC